rnacentral:tRNA from 1 species
UCCCCGGUAGCUCAAUAGGCAGAGCGGGUGGCUGUUAACCACUAGGUUCGCGGUUCAAGUCCGUGCCGGGGAG